rnacentral:rRNA from 1 species
AACGAACGCUGGCGGCAUGCCUAACACAUGCAAGUCGAACGAGACCUUCGGGUCUAGUGGCGCACGGGUGCGUAACGCGUGGGAACCUGCCCUUAGGUUCGGAAUAACUCCCCGAAAGGGGUGCUAAUACCGGAUAAUGUCUUCGGACCAAAGAUUUAUCGCCUUUGGAUGGGCCCGCGUUGGAUUAGCUAGUUGGUAGGGUAAAAGCCUACCAAGGCGACGAUCCAUAGCUGGUCUGAGAGGAUGAUCAACCACACUGGGACUGAGACACGGCCCAGACUCUUACGGGAGGCAGCAGUGGGGAAUAUUGGACAAUGGGCGAAAGCCUGAUCCAGCAAUGCCGCGUGAGUGAUGAAGGCCUUAGGGUUGUAAAGCUCUUUUACCCGGGAUGAUAAUGACAGUACCGGGAGAAUAAGCUCCGGCUAACUCCGUG